GCCUGAACGGGCAACGGCGUCGAGCCGGAGCGAGAAGUCGGCAGAGGUCGAAGUAGUCGGAGGGGUAGGGCUCAAGACCGCCGAUGAAGGAC
rfam:Ralstonia eutropha H16 chromosome 1